rnacentral:rRNA from 1 species
CGUCGCAUCAAGCCCGCUUCCAUCGCCUCCGCUGUCGCCUCUCACACGCGCCAAGCCGCCUGCCCU